CCAUCCUGGUCUACAUGGUGAAAUCCAAGUUCCAGCCACACAGGUUUGAGGUUUCUUGUUGUUCUGGCCACUGAAGAAUUCCCUCAGAUACUGAGCAGACACAAGAAGGAGCCUGGGGAGGAAAUCUGGCCUUUCCAUGGGAAAAAAAGAAGUGAAGAUAAGGAAUGAAUGAACCUAUGCCUCAAGUUUCAUAAGGACUGAUGGAAUUUGUAUCUGUGAAAGAGCUAAAGGACACCUCAGCUACAAGGUGCCAGAGUUAGUCAGCUUCCUGCUGCUGCAAACAAAUCCGAGAUAACCAACCGAUACUUAGAAAAGGUUUGCUUUGGCUGACAGUUCCGGAGCCCAUGGUCACUUGGCCCUAUCACCGAUGGGCCUGUGGAGGCAAGACUUCUCAGAACAGUCCUGGGGGAAAGAGUGAGAGUUGGUCACCCUGCGUCUUAUCUCAAGAUAACGGGGCUGUUUUUAAAUAGAAAUCAAGAAGAACUGGUUUUCAAGGUGCGGAAGAACAAAAUAACCCCCACAACGACUUCCAUACCUAUUUCCAAGACCGCUUUGUUGAGGCUGAAUGGAAAGUUGCCUUGGAAAGAACCAUAGGGCCUGGAGUCCUCUGUGAGCACUUUAUGUGUGUGUUACUUUAGCAGUUAUUAAGGCAUCUCUGGGCCUUAUUUAUCCCACCCAAGAAGCAAAAGGAAGGAGCAGUGGCUCCUGUCAAGCUUCAGAAUGGAAUCGGAGAUCGUAUUCCCUUGCAGGCGUUCAUGGCAUUCCUGGAGGAUGAUGAGAGGUGAUCUGAACAGUUGUCAUGAAAGAUGGCAAAGUCCAGGUCACCUGGUGAGCGAGUGGGAGGCCGGCUUCAGGGGACACACCAAUACCACGUAGAAGGAGUCAUCGACCUUGUCAAAUGAAAGGCUGGCCUCACCUACAUCGCUCCCUCCUUUCCCAGGGCUCCAAGAUCUCAGAGCUAUGCUCAGAAACUCAGAGGCCACUGGCGUCGGCUAAGAUGGAACCCAGAAACCGUCUGAAGAUGUGAUUUUCUUAUAGGCACCUUCUGCUCCCCCCCCCCCCAGCACUGUCGCUGGAAUCCUGGACUCCGAUGUCCCCUGUUGGUUACCCUCAUCUCUCUCUUGUGCCCUAGCUGUGCUACCCUCUGAGAUUCUGCUGCGGUCUACACAUGGGGCUGAAGGGGCCCCUGGAGGGCUGUACCUGCCCUCCACCACCAGUGGCAUGACCUUGUGGGCAGGAAGGCUGGGACCACAUGGCUUGAACCAGGGGAGUUUUCUCUGAGCAUAAGUCUACUCUUCCCAGGGUCCAGAGAGUGGCUGAAAGGGAUAUUUGUGACUGCCCGGCAGAGCACACCGUGGGCCUUCCAGCCUUAGUAUUCAGUGCCAGCAUGCAAUUUCCUGCGUCCCACACCCCAGUUUCUGAUUCAAGACAUUGCAGAACUGGAGAGGGUUUAGAACCACUGCUGGGAACCCAGUUGCUAAACUUGAAGUAAGCGUUAAGAACUUGCAGACAGUGACGCUUUGACUGAACUUUUGUUACUUCGCCUCAGGGCACAGCUGUUGGCAGAGGCACCCAUGGCUUAGAAGUUUAGGGGUGUUUGGGUGUUGGUGAAAUGGAGAGCUGACCCUGCUACAGGGGUGUGAAUAUUGUCUCGGAGUGUCUCUUCUGACACUCAGGAAAGUGGGACACCCGUUGUUAUGUGCAUUUUAGGGACAGGGAACCCAGCCAAGCUCCUUGGCUUAAGGAAAACUAGCAAGUGGGUGUCGAUUCCUAAAUCAAUGUACAAGCACUGGUACAUGUGUCCCUUUUUUUGGCUCCCACGGGCACCUGUGCUUGGGAUAAUAUGAUUGCCACACACACACACACACAUACACAUACACAGUACCCCUAACCGCUCCUGUGAGGAAGUCUGGGCUCAGACAAGGUCCUAGACCUGAUCCCAGGCUCUGUAUGAGCACAGGUCUGUACUCAGCUGAGUUGUGCACUGUGGAGAACUACUUCACUAUACCUGAUAGCCUGUCUAGAAAAGGUACAAUGAAGGCUGGAAUCAGCAGACCCUGACUGUUGGGGGAGGCAAAUGGCUUUUCUAGGUAGGAAUCACCUCUGUACCCAGAUUUCAGUCCCACUGUAACAAUGACCGUAACAUCACCAUGCCCUGAAAAGGAGGGAAAAAUGCAAAGAGGUCAACUCCCAGGGACUCCUUCUGAACUUCCUGGAUGACAUAAGGGCAGGUGUUAACUUGAUUUAAAAGAAAUCGGGGGACAGGGGAACGGAUCUGAAGGUAACCAGCCAGCAUGGCUGUGCUCUACAGACAGGGUCUCCUAGUUACAGGCCCUUUGUCUGCUCACAGCCUAUCCUUCAUCUGACCUGUUUCAUACCUUCUCAAGCUGCCAGCAAGGGGAGGUGGUGGCAGGACUACUGCAGGCAUUGGGACCAACACAGUCCCUUGUGGUUGGAGCGCCAUGGUGAUGAGUCCCAUCCUAGAUAACCGUUUCCACUGGAAGCAUUUUUCAGAUGUCAGCAAAGGCAAUGGGGGAGGGGGGCCGAGGGAGGAUCGAUGUCUCCCUUGUCCCCCACGUCAAGGCCUGAUCCAGCCAGGAGAGAGGAGGUGAUAUUCCAAAACACCCCCAAGCCACAUCCUUUUUAAGUGAGCAGCUGGGCACAGUGAUAGAGCUGAUUGCCUGGAUCCUUCUAGAAGAAAUGCAGGCUGCUGGCUGCCUGUGCACAUCGAGGGAACCGAAGUCCAUUCAGUAAGGAACUGUCUUCUAAACUGUCCAUAAAACUGUACCAAGUGCUCAUGCAUAAGGAAGAUGCGAAGAGGAACAAGGAAGUUUCCAGACUUCUGUCAGCUCACAGGGAGGGAAGCAUAAGCAACUAAUAAACAACUAGAGUUAAAUUGAAGAUAGAAAGCAGAGCCACAGUAAAGUGGGGGGGAAGGGUAUGCCUGUGGGGAAGGGAGAGCUUCUUUAGAGCUGCCGAAGAGGGUGCGUAUGUGCUCGUGGAUUGUGCUUUGAGGAUGAAGGAAGGCUUGGGUGGAUCCUGUGGAGGUAGGAAGAAAAGAUGUGGCAAGCUGUGAGAAUCUAGAGCCCAAGAGCAUGAAGCAUGAAGCAUGAAGCUCGUGGUCUCUGAAUUAUCUUGCUAGUCAACUGUGCAGAUAUUUGGAAGCUCCUGUUGUCUUGUUGGUAAUAUUUGUGGGCCAUUUUUACAUAUUGUUCAUAUUGAUUGAAUUUCAUCAAAGUUAAAGGAGUCAGACAUUUUGCUCAUUUUCUAGAGGAGGAAAUCAUGACACAGAAAUCACAAAGGUGGGGUGUACGACUGUGGCCACUGAACUCAGGUGUCCUGACUCCAAGUCUGAUUUUCUGGGGCAGGAUGGGGAAAACUCCUCUCCUUCCCAGGAUGUCCAUGCUAGUAAAAGCUCGGCUUGGAAUGUUAAGAGACCUGAGCAAUUUCUUUGACAUUGGUGCAUAUCCCAUGAGUCUUUGCAGGAUUCAAUACUCUUCCUUUCUUCUGAUGACCCCUAACCACAAUUCCAUACCUCAGCUUCUUAAACUGUGGGUUGUGAUCCUAUAUGGGGUUGUGUAACUGAAUGUGAUAAGUGAAAAACCAAAAACAACUAGCAGCAGUAAAUGGUUUCUGAAUGCAUAAUGAGGAAUAAUUAAUUUUAUUAAUUAAUCCAAUGCAGAGUGAAUCCGAGGUGAUCUUGGCGGCACCUACCAGUUUUGAAUUGUUUGGCUUCGCUGUAGCCUUGGUCCUGAACAUAAACUCAAACACUUUAUACAUGCUAUACUCCACACAAAACAAAUGAAAAACAUCUUGACUCAGAUUGGAGAUGGUUGUAUGUAUGAGUUUCAGAGUUUUCAUUGUAUAGACAUUACUGUAUGGAAACAAUUUAUAUACAAUU